GUUGCUGCUUGUUAACAACAUAUCCGGAUAAGCUGCCGUUCUAGAAGGAGAAGGACGUUAAAAUCAGUUGAUCUUCUUUACAUGCGUGGCUGCCGUACUAAGAAAUUAAGGAAGUUAUAACCAGUUGAUUUUCUCUAUAUGCAUCAUCAGAAAAUCUCAUAAUUUGAUUUUUUUUUUUGGGGGCCUGACUCAAUUUGAUUUCACAAACAAGUUCUCCGUGUAUUAUUUAAAUUCUACGUGUUUCCUAUAGAAUUUACUUAUAAUUUUCUGAUUGUUUUAAUUCUCGGGAAAAAAAGAAAGUAUAUCUAAAAUAUUCUUUAAACGGCGUAUUUUUAUAUCCGAAAGGGAAAAGUGGUACACUUAUUUGAUUUUUUGGAAGCGUAAAACUUGACUUGCUGAAAUCUUAAAACUUUCUAAUUAGUUUGCAGAAAAUUAACUUGCAUUUCAUACUCACCUUAAACUAACUCGUAAAAGUGAAAAUGAUAAGAGCAUUGCUUUAAAUUGUUGUGUCUCAUCCUGGUCUUUAAUUUGUGGUUUAUUUUUUCCCCUGACAUAGGUAGAGAGAGCAUGGCUUUCCAUUCGCUGGGUUCAUUAGAGGAAGUGGUUCCACUUAGAAGUGUCAUUCACACCCGAACGACUACUUUUUGAUUUUGAUUUUUCUAAAGCAGUUCUAGUGUGUUUGUUUGACUUCUAAUAUCUAACUGUUCACUUUGCGUCUUAUUUUGUUGCAGCUAGUUAACAAUGUGUCUAGAUAAGCUGUCCUAAAGUUUUGCAGAAAGUCUGGUUGCAUUUUCUUGGCUUAUGCCUUCUCUUCUGUGAAAAGAGCGUGGUUUUUCCUUCCGUGGAUUCGUUUGGUGAAAGAAACUAGUUAACAAUAUGUCUCGAUAAAUUUCCUGAUUUUCACCCAAACUUGGUGACAAUGUCCUCCUCGCGCUCACAGUGUUUCAUCCAAAUUGCAUGGCCCUUAAUUGUUUUGGUAUGACUUUUGAUAUCUUGGUGUUUGAUUGUAGGCUUAUUUUGUUGCAGCUUGCUAGCAAUGCGUCUUGAUAAGUCGCCUAUAGUUUAACUAAAAACUUGGUUACUUUCUGUUUGUGCAUUUUCUUCUCUACGCAUUUGGAAAUGAUUUUGUGUUCCAUAGUAUCUCAUCCAGAAUAUAUGGCGUUGAUAUGUGUUCUUUGAGUUAGGUGAAAGGAGCGUG